rnacentral:rRNA from 1 species
UACGUAGGGUGCGAGCGUUAAUCGGAAUUACUGGGCGUAAAGCGUGCGCAGGCGGUUUUGUAAGCCAGAUGUGAAAUCCCCGGGCUCAACCUGGGAAUGGCAUUUGGGACUGCAAGGCUUGAGUGCGGCAGAGGAGACUGGAAUUCCUGGUGUAGCAGUGAAAUGCGUAGAUAUCAGGAGGAAUACCGAUGGCGAAGGCAGGUCUCUGGGCUGACACUGACGCUCAUGCAC